rnacentral:rRNA from 1 species
UACGAAGGGGGCUAGCGUUGUUCGGAAUUACUGGGCGUAAAGCGCACGUAGGCGGAUAUUUAAGUCAGGGGUGAAAUCCCGGGGCUCAACCCCGGAACUGCCUUUGAUACUGGGUAUCUGGAGGUCGAGAGAGGCGAGCGGAAUUCCGAGUGUAGAGGUGAAAUUCGUAGAUAUUCGGAGGAACACCAGUGGCGAAGGCGGCUCGCUGGCUCGAUACUGACGCUGAGGUGCGAAAGCGUGGGGAGCAAACAGG